CCCUGGCUCAGAGUGAACGCUGGCGGCAGGCCUAACACAUGCAAGUCGAACGGCAGCACAGCAGUAGCAAUACUGUGGGUGGCGAGUGGCGGACGGGUGAGGAAUGCAUCGGAAUCUGCCUAUUUGUGGGGGAUAACGUAGGGAAACUUACGCUAAUACCGCAUACGACCUACGGGUGAAAGUGGGGGACCGCAAGGCCUCACGCAGAUAGAUGAGCCGAUGCCGGAUUAGCUAGUUGGCGGGGUAAAGGCCCACCAAGGCGACGAUCCGUAGCUGGUCUGAGAGGAUGAUCAGCCACACUGGAACUGAGACACGGUCCAGACUCCUACGGGAGGCAGCAGUGGGGAAUAUUGGACAAUGGGCGCAAGCCUGAUCCAGCCAUGCCGCGUGAGUGAAGAAGGCCUUCGGGUUGUAAAGCUCUUUUGUCCGGAAAGAAAAGCAUUCGGUUAAUAACCGAGUGUCAUGACGGUACCGGAAGAAUAAGCACCGGCUAACU
rnacentral:rRNA from 1 species